rnacentral:Y_RNA from 1 species
GGCUGGCCCAAGUACAGUGGUGUCUACAACAAAUUGAUCACAACCAGUUGCAGAUUUCUUUGUUCCUUCUCCACUCCCACUGCUUCACUUGACUAGCCUUAA